GGCAAAAGAAGGUUUCGGUUAGUCCGUUCUACGAUAAACAAUGACUGUGUUCGAAGUACUGGUAAAGCGUACUUCGCGGACCGGUUUGACGACUUCGCCGGAAGUUUCGCCAUAUUCAGACCUGUUCGAGGUAACUAGACUUCUACUCCAAGUGGUCCACGGAGGUCGUUUCGACGAAGACCACAUUGAUGUGGUAUACCUACGAGGUCUACUAGUCCAAAGAUGGAUGACAACAGUCUAUCGCCAAGUAGUCAGGAAUAUAAAAAAGCAUUUAAAUGUUCCCAACAAGAGUGCUUAAAGCCGUUCGAAUUUCUCUCUCUACAAAGAAUACUUACAGUAGCUCGAGAGUACUACAACUUAGAAGUCUUGUCAGCAUUAGUCUCGGCAAUAUUAGUCUCGAUACUUCGA
rnacentral:lncRNA from 1 species